rnacentral:lncRNA from 11 species
GUCAGCUCUAGCUUUCCAUGUGGGGACAUGAGAGAAGCUUCCCACAGGAUGGUAAAACAUCAAACAUCAUGCUGUCCUGGGUUACAUCCUUGCAGAUGGCCAAUUUUCUUGCAUAUCUUUAAUUUACUAGCUUAGAUUUGAGUUUAGCUUGCAAAGUUGUUAUAACUUUGUGUUUUAUUGUGGUACUCUUGUUGUCCUACACGAACUUAACUCAUAUUGGAUUUCUAAUAGUAGAACCGGUGUUUUCAGAAGAACUGGAUGGGGGGUGAGCCCCCCCCCCAAAAAAAACAAAACAAAAAAACAAACAAACAAAAAACCUCAGUCUUCCAUGCAAUCCCUGAAUCAGGACUGGAAAACCUCUGAAGCAAAUUUGGACAGUGCACAGGGCAACCACCAACAGAUCAUUAUAUUUGACCCUGAAAUCUUUACUUAUUUAUAUAUCUGUUAUUCUCUUGUGACGUUUUCAGAUUGUGAGCAGACUAGUUCAAAUUCGUGACUAUAUUGCAAAAGCCAGUUCCAUGCGAGAUGAUCUUGUUGAGAAAAAUGAGAGAUCUGCUAAUGUUGAGCGCUUAUCACAUCUCAUAAAUCAUCUGAAAGAUCAGGAGAAAUCUUACCUGAAAUUUUUACAGAAGAUACUAGAAGCUUCUUUUAGCCUGGGACCUCGACCCGGCAUUGAGGACAAACUAGGGAAUUCAACUUCUCAAGGACAGGUUUCAGACAUGGAUGAUACAGGAAGUCCAAAAGUGAGAUGUGACAGAGCUGCCCUGAAUGGCAGCUGGCCUAGUAGGAUUAAUAACCAAGAACCUGGAUUGCCCUCAAAGGUACACUUAUCAGAUUUUGCCUUGGAAAUCUUUCAAUAUAGGUGUUAAUCUGUGGAUUCUUUCCUCCCAGAUAAUUGUUUUAUUUCAAAUAUAGGGAUGCAUUAAUCAAUUGUUUUAGUUCUUACAAAUAUGUUCUUAGUACUUAUUGAUAGUUACUAGGCAGUCUGUUUUAAUGUAUAUAGAAUUAUUUUAAAGGAAUAAUUGCUUAGAAUUAGUAAUCACAAACUACAAUUUUAAUUUUUUAAUAUUCUUUCUCAAUUAUUCUGUCACAGCACAAUUCACAUUUGCCAUCAUGCCAAACUUGGUUCAUAAGUCUAACAUGCUGUUUACAUUUUGUUCUACAUGUGUGUGUGUGUGUGAAUAAUGACAUUUCUCUGAUAUUAACCUUUUUGCAAUCAAGUUUAUUCAUUUUGUUGGUGAAAAUAGUUGUUCAGUUCUAAAUAUCACUUUUCAGUACUAUGGAUUAUAUACAGACUUGCUUUUCUGCAAAUGGAAAAUGUAGUGAAUGUUCUUGCUUUGUGAUCUGGAUGCUCCUAUGGGGAUUGGGGAGAAAACUGAUUUCCCCCCAGUUUCAUCCUUCUUUCUAUUCAUAACCACCAAACUUGGUGUUAUGGAAGGUCCUUCAGUCUAAUUGCUCUCAUUUGGAAGAUUUUCCUUCCUGUUCUCCCUGUUGAUUUGAUUUUGCAUUAAAAUUGUGAUUUGAUCUGCUCUUCUUUGGAAGGCUUUCUUUUUUCCUCAGUGAUCAUAGUAUUGUGAAUGUUGCGUCAUUGCACUGCUGGGAGAUAGAUACAAGACAGUAGGACUUGAAUGUGCGCUGGCUGGAUUAUUCUCCUUUGUAGUUGUAUGAAACAAAAGCAGUGGUUGUUAAACUUUGUCAUUCAGUAAUUCUUAAAGCAGACCCUGAAAAGUCAGGGCCUUUUCAUGUGUUAAUGUAGCAGUGCUGUAAGCACUUCUUUUGGAGAAAGCCGCAACUAAACAGAGUGGGUUACAAUGUAUGGAACACUGCUCAGUAUUGGUGAUUUCAUUGAAAUAACAUACAAAACAUAGUGGAAUUUAAAACCCCCCGAAUAUAAGUAACCUUGGCUAAUGCAAUAUUGGGGGGAAAGGGUGACAAGUAUAAUUGAUGAGCAGUGUAUAAAUUAACCUUACUGUGCAUGAUACAUUCGUACUAAUUGCCUUUAUCUUUUUUGCAUUACUGUCUGUUUUUUAAACAUUUAUUUUCCAGGCUAGAGAUCCUCAGCAAGAAGCUACAGAAGAACUUGUAAAUUUAAAGAAGCAACAUGAUUUACUAAAGAGGAUGUUACAACAGCAGGAACAAUUGAAAGCUCUUCAAGGGAGGCAAGCUGCUCUUCUUGCUCUACAGCAUAAAGCAGAACAGGCUAUUGCUGUCAUGGAUGAUUCUGGUAUGCUCUUGUUAUAUACCUGAACAGAAGUUCUCCUUCAGUAACACAGGCUACCCUCCACCCCACCCCACC